rnacentral:rRNA from 1 species
GAUUGAACGCUGGCGGCAGGCCUAACACAUGCAAGUCGAGCGGUAGAGAGGUGCUUGCACCUCUUGAGAGCGGCAGACGGGUGAGUAAUGCCUAGGAAUCUGCCUAGUGGUGGGGGAUAACGUUCGGAAACGGACGCUAAUACCGCAUACGUCCUACGGGAGAAAGCGGGGGACCUUCGGGCCUCGCGCCAUUAGAUGAGCCUAGGUCGGAUUAGCUAGUUGGUGAGGUAAUGGCUCACCAAGGCGACGAUCCGUAACUGGUCUGAGAGGAUGAUCAGUCACACUGGAACUGAGACACGGUCCAGACUCCUACGGGAGCAGCAGUGGGGAAUAUUGGACAAGUGGGACGAAAGCCCUAGAAUCCCAGGCCCAAU